AUGUUGGGUAGUCCGCACGAGCGCAACCCUUAUCCUUAUUUGCCAGCGCGUUAUGGCGGGAACUUUAAGGAGACUGCCGGUGAUAAACCGGAGGAAGGUGGGGACGACGUCAAGUCAUCAUGGCCCUUACGGGAUGGGCUACACACGUGCUACAAUGGCAGGUACAGAGGGCAGCAAUACCGCGAGGUGGAGCGAAUCCCACAAAGCUUGUCGUAGUCCGGAUUGGAGUCUGCAACUCGACUCCAUGAAGUCGGAAUCGCUAGUAAUCGUAGAUCAGAAUGCUACGGUGAAUACGUUCCCGGGCCUUGUACACACCGCCCGUCACACCAUGGGAGUGGGAUGCAAAAGAAGUGGCUAGUUUAACCUUUCGGGGAGGACGGUCACCACUUUGUGUUUCAUGACUGGGGUGAAGUCGUAACAAGGUAACCCUAGGGGAACCUGGGGUUGGAUCACCUCCUUAUCUU
rnacentral:rRNA from 1 species